UAUCAAUAAGCGGAGGAAAAGAAACCAACAGGGAUUGCCUUAGUAACGGCGAGUGAAGCGGCAACAGCUCAAAUUUGAAAUCUGGCUCUUUUAGGGUCCGAGUUGUAAUUUGCAGAGGGCGCUUUGGCUUUGGCAGCGGUCCAAGUUCCUUGGAACAGGACGUCACAGAGGGUGAGAAUCCCGUACGUGGUCGCUAGCUAUUGCCGUGUAAAGCCCCUUCGACGAGUCGAGUUGUUUGGGAAUGCAGCUCUAAAUGGGAGGUAAAUUUCUUCUAAAGCUAAAUAUUGGCCAGAGACCGAUAGCGCACAAGUAGAGUGAUCGAAAGAUGAAAAGCACUUUGGAAAGAGAGUCAAACAGCACGUGAAAUUGUUGAAAGGGAAGCGCUUGCAGCCAGACUUGCUUGCAGUUGCUCAUCCGGGCUUUUGCCCGGUGCACUCUUCUGCAGGCAGGCCAGCAUCAGUUUGGGCGGUGGGAUAAAGGUCUCUGACACGUUCCUUCCUUCGGGUUGGCCAUAUAGGGGAGACGUCAUACCACCAGCCUGGACUGAGGUCCGCGCAUCUGCUAGGAUGCUGGCGUAAUGGCUGUAAGCGGCCCGUCUUGAAACACGGACCAAGGAGUCUAACAUCUAUGCGAGUGUUGGGGUG
rnacentral:rRNA from 2 species